CCGAGAACACGGGCGCCGCCGCGAGGCCGCGACCCGACACUCCCAACCCUUUGUCAAACGUACACGUUGCCUCGGGGGCCCCCCGCCCCCGACGGACACACCACAAACACUGCAUCCCUGCGUCAGAGUAUUGAAACCAAUCAAUCA
rnacentral:misc_RNA from 1 species